GACGAACGCUGGCGGCGUGCCUAAUACAUGCAAGUCGAGCGGAGCGGCGGACGGGUGAGUAAUGCCUAGGAAUCUGCCUGGUCGUGGGGGAUAACGUCCGGACACGGGCGCUAAUACCGCAUACUCUCAGAUGAGCCUAGGUCGGAUUAGCGAGUUGGUGGGGUAAAGGCAUACCAAGGCGACGAUCCGUAACUGGUCUGAGAGGAUAAUCAGUCACACUGGAACUGAGACACGGUCCAGACUCCAACGGGAGGCAGCGUUGGGGAAUAUUGGACAAUGGGCGAAGGCCUAACCCAGCCAUGCCGCGUGUGGGAAGAAGGUCUUCGGAUUGUAAAGCACUUUAAGUUGGGAGGCGUUACCAACAGAAUAAGCACCGGCUAACUUCGUGCCAGCAGCCGCGGUAAUUC
rnacentral:rRNA from 1 species